AACGCACAUUGCGCCCCUUGGUAUCCCGAGGGGCAUGCCUGUUCGAGCGUCAUUUCACCACUCAAGCCUGGCUUGGUGUUGGGCGACGUCCCCUUUAGGGACGCGCCUCGAAACACUCGGCGGCGUGGCACCGGCUUUAAGCGUAGCAGAAUCUUUCGCUUUGAAAGUCGGGGCCCCGUCUGCCGGAAGACCUACUCACAAGGUUGACCUCGGAUCAGGUAGGGAUACCCGCUGAACUUAA
rnacentral:misc_RNA from 3 species